UGGGGAAUAUUGCACAAUGGGGGAAACCCUGAUGCAGCGACGCCGCGUGAGCGAAGAAGGUUUUCGAAUCGUAAAGCUCUGUCCUAUGAGAAGAUAAUGACGGUAUCAUAGGAGGAAGCCCCGGCUAAAUACGUGCCAGCAGCCGCGGUAAUACGUAUGGGGCGAGCGUUGUCCGGAAUCAUUGGGCGUAAAGGGUACGUAGGCGGUCUAUUAAGUCAGGUGUGAAAGCGUGAGGCUUAACCUCAUUAAGCACUUGAAACUGAUAGGCUUGAGUGAAGGAGAUGUAAGUGGAAUUCCUAGUGUAGCGGUGAAAUGCUUAGAUAUUAGGAGGAAUACCAGUGGCGAAGGCAACUUUCUGGACUUUUACUGACGCUCAGGUACGAAAGCGUGGGGAGCAAACAGG
rnacentral:rRNA from 1 species